CCUACGGGGGGCUGCAGUGGGGAAUAUUGGACAAUGGGGGCAACCCUGAUCCAGCCAUGCCGCGUGUGUGAAGAAGGCCCUCGGGUUGUAAAGCACUUUCAGUGAGGAAGAACGCCUGGUGGUUAAUACCCAUCAGGAAAGACAUCACUCACAGAAGAAGCACCGGCUAACUCCGUGCCAGCAGCCGCGGUAAUACGGAGGGUGCGAGCGUUAAUCGGAAUUACUGGGCGUAAAGCGCGCGUAGGUGGCUUGAUAAGCCGGUUGUGAAAGCCCCGGGCUCAACCUGGGAACGGCAUCCGGAACUGUCAAGCUAGAGUGCAGGAGAGGAAGGUAGAAUUCCCGGUGUAGCGGUGAAAUGCGUAGAGAUCGGGAGGAAUACAGUGGCGAAGGCGGCCUUCUGGACUGACACUGACACUGAGGUGCGAAAGCGUGGGUAGCAAACAGGAUUAGAUACCCUGGUAGUC
rnacentral:rRNA from 1 species